rnacentral:lncRNA from 1 species
UGAGCUCUACCCACCUUUGGCGUCCUCCUCCAAAUAGUUCAGACUGCUCCCUAGACGUGUCCUGUCUGGGAAGAAGACUCGGAGAAACUGAAAUCGAGACCAUGUUGAGCUGGGGCACUGACAGUCAGCACAAUGGCCCCUGCGGUUCUAAGCCACAGUUCUACUUAAAAGAGAAACCCUAAAUUUGCAUCUGGACUUCUGCUGCGGCCCUGUACCUAAGAACACUGAUACCCAAGAUGAUGCAGACUAUUGCCGUGGCCGUUGCUUGCACGCUGGAACUGAAUGGUAAGAACCUAUUGGUGAAGAUGUCACCUGCUUCGGUGACAGGAUAUGGAGAAAUGAGACUGGAACUGGGCU